rnacentral:misc_RNA from 1 species
UUCCUUAUUCCUUAUUUUCUUACGCUCGGCGUAAGGCUCCAAUUAGAGCACAAGAGGGAAAUUGUGUGCGAGAUUUGAGUUUGCGGGAACGUGAACUACACUGAUGCAAUAUGAAAAUAUAGAUUACAUUAAUAAAAUAUUUUUAGUAUUAAUAAAAUAAAGAAUUUAGUAUAAUGAUGAAUUAUGAAAACGAGAUGUUGGAUAGUGCUUUUGACGAUGAUAAUUAUGGUAAUGCAUCAGAAGCUCAAAUCCUAGUAUGGAAGACGUUAAUUAAUUUAGUGCAACUAAAUUUAAUUUUGUACCAGAAGAAACACAAAGGAUACAAUAACAAAAGCAUGAAGAUGCAAAUAUGGAACAAUAUUGGUGCAUCCUUGACACCGCCAAUGACUGGAAUUGAUGCAGAAAAAACAUUUUAUCGUUUACGUCAAAAAUUCGAAAAAGAGUGCAGGAAAGUCAAUACAGUCGCAGGCAAGAUCUGGCGCAGGUGCAGAUCAUGUGCCAUAUACAUCUAAUUGGACUAAUUGGACAUUAUACAAAGAUCUAAUGUUUCUGACUGAUCAUAUUCAACCUAGACAAACAUCAUCAAAUUUCCAACCUAUUCUAAAGCGCAAGAAAGCUAUGGCUUCGCAACUGUCGCAUUUUAGCAG